ensembl:lncRNA
CUGGAAAGGGCGCCAGACCCGUCAUCCUCACCACCUUGGUCGAGUCGUUCCUUUUCAUUUCCCACAGUCUCUCCUGCUUCCUCUCCUCCGGCCUUGCCUGUCUGCAGGAAGCAAGUGCUGUCGGGGCUGUCUCCUCAUCUAAAUCUUUUCAGGAUCUGACAGGAGUUGGCCAAACGCACCUCCACCAGGAAGUCCUCCUGACUUGCGCGGGUCUCCCUGAACCCUCCAGCCACCCAAAGCCUGGAGCAGUUACAGCCAGGGGAUACACCAUCAGCGUGUGUGGGUCUGGGGUGGGGGCGGGUGAGAGGUUGGCCCCAUAGUGAGGGGGUCCGCGGCACGCCCGGGCUAGGGCCUGAGACAAGCCAGCAUCUGAGAGCAGCCUCUGCUUAGCUGUGUCUGCAUGCCUGCUCCCUGAGACUGUGUGUGUGCGUGGCUGUGAGUGUGCGUGGAACGAGUGUGCACAGCAAUGGGAUCUGGGCGCUGGGCUGCUGUGUAUCCGUGUGCCUUGGUCUGUAGGCUUUUAUGCACCUCAGAGCAAGUCUGUGGAGCCUCUUCUGCCCGGGUGACUGGGGAGGCAGAUGGAGAGCUAAGGAAUUCUUUGAGUCCACAGCUCUGGGGGGUCUCACUGUGUCAGUGGGGGCGCCUGGCUCUGCCAGUUUGUGUGUGUGGAGCUGUGUGCCUGUUGGGAGCUGUGUCACUUGAUGUGUGCAUACCUCUGUGAUGUGUGAGCACGACAGUGUGUGUCUGGCUCUAUGUGUGACCGUGGGUUUGCUGAGCUAGCCGUGUGUCUGGGUAGACAGAGGAGAGAGGUGUGUGCGGGUACAGCCGUGUUGCCUGCCUGGCUCUGUCUUUCUGCCUCUGGGGUUUGGAUUCUGCAAACCAUGCCUCCUCUUCUGCACCCCUGACACAUAGGUGCACCCCACCCCUAGGAGGACCCAGGGUCACCAGCUCAGCCUGGUUCCUCUCUGGAAGAGGCAGGAAGAAGAGGGAAGCCACACUGUUUCUUAACACCUGGAGCCAGGCCCCAACACCCAGGGACCGCCUCCCUGCCUGUCACCUGGCCGGCAGCAUCAUCCCUCUUCAAUCAAGGCGAUGGCCAGGGAAGAGGGAGGCCCAGAGCCAGAGCCUUGGCAUCACCCAGGGGCCACCUGAAAAUGCAAAAGACUGCACCAGAUGUGCACUGUAACCAGAGUGCCCGGCUGAUUUGUGAUCACAGUAACAGCUGAGAAGCCCUGCUCUCAGGCGGAACCUCCCUGCGCCCCGGUUUCCUACUCUCUACUACGGGGACAAGAGCAGAAGCAACUUACGGGGCCGAUGCGGCGUGAGGGUGAACGGGGAUAAGGCGCGGGAAAGCUCUGAGCGGAGCUAAGCCUUUAUCUACAGAACCCUCCUCCUCAUUUUUAUGAAUAAAAUUCAGAAC